GAUGAACGCUGGCGGCGUGCCUAAUACAUGCAAGUCGAGCGAACGGACGAUAAUCUUGCUUCUCUGAUGUUAGCGGCUGACGUGUGAGUAACACGUGUAUACCCUACCUUUCAUUCUGGGAUAACUUCGGGAAACCGGAGCUUAUUCCGGAUAAUCUUUUUAACCGCAUGGUUCAAAAGUGAAAGUCGGUCUUGCUGUCACUUAUAGAUGGAUCCGCGCUGCAUUAGCUAGUUGUUAAGGUAACGGCUUACCAAGGCAACGAUGCAUAGCCGACCUGAGAGGGUGAUCGGCCACACUGGAACUGAGACACGGUCCAGACUCCUACGGGAGGCAGCAGAAGGGAAUAUUCCGCAAAGGGCGAAAGCAUGACGGAGCAACGACGCGUGAGUGAUGAAGGUCUUCGGAUCGUAAAACUCUGUUAUUAGGGAAGAACAAAUGUGUAAGUAAAAGUGAACAGCUUGACGGUAACAAAUAAGAAAGCAACGGCUAACUACGUG
rnacentral:rRNA from 1 species